rnacentral:snRNA from 1 species
AAACAGUAAUGGAGGUGGUUUUCCCAGUGCAAGGCUCAUCCAUUGCACUCUGUAUGUGCUGAGCCCUGCAACUUUCCCAAGUGUGGAAAAUUCAACAGCACAAUUUGUGGUAGUGAGGUCUGCAUUCAUGCUCUCCCCUA